CAGCAACUUCACACACAGGACACAUCUGUCCCCUCUUACAGUCCAAGAUCCACCAGGCAAGGACACUUUGAGUAAGAAUAAUUUUAAAAUCAGCAACAAGUGGAGCUGACUUUCUAUCUAUGACUUCAAGAAGGAAAAGCUUUAAUUUUUUCCAUGCAGGGAAUAUUUCCCCUGCCCCAAAACAGGGAACACAGCCAGUGGAAUGACUUACAGAGAGUAUUUAUUAGAGAGGGCAAAACAAACCCUGCAAGCAAACAAGUCAAUGGGAUGAAACAUUUACUGUCUGUGCAAGGAGUGUUAAAUGAACUCAUUUCAGCUUCUCAAUUAAUAUCCAGAUGUCCCCAGCCACCGCCAGGGUUUCUUUCCCUUUGGUGAGUAGGUAAUGACAUUAAUACCACCAUGUGAUCCCUCUCUUCCCUCCCUGAGUCACCCUCCCCUUCCACACAGGAGCUUCUCUGAAGGUUCAUCAAUUGAAAUUGUUUGAAUGCAGCGAGAAAAAGAAUAAAAAGAACGUUUCCUAACAUUGGCAGGAGCAUUUCAGGCAUGAGCACUUUGAAUAUUUAUUCGCCCUUUGUGGGAGCAGCCUCAGCAAGGAAAAGUCAGCGUGAAUAAAAGGAAUUGCAAAUACCAGAGAAGGAGUUUUUCAUUCAUGAGAAUAUUUGCACAGGCUCCUGGGAGAAUUAUCAGCCAAGAUCUGGAACAGACAAAAUUCCAUGUGGGAUCGAAAUGAGGACGAAUUGCUGAGGAGCAGAGCCAAACCAUCUUUCUGCCUGGGAAAGAAGAAGCAUCCACUGCAUUUUUGGGGGUCAGCAAUAACAGCACUGAGCCAGUGGCUACAACAACUGAAGAUUUCUGCUGCUAACAAAGGAUUUUCAUCAGCACUUCUGCUCCAUAAACACCUGCAACUUCCUCAGCCACCCCUGAGACCCUUCAGGAGGAGGCACCUCAUGACCUCAGCCCAAUCCAUCCCUGUUCCUGGAUCCUUCACACACUGCGUGGAGCCCUCCUAAAUCUGGACAUCACUGAGCCACCACCAGCUCCUGCUUUUCUAAAAUAAAGGACAACUGCAGGAACUCUUCCCA
rnacentral:lncRNA from 1 species